AACGAACGCUGGCGGCAGGCCUAACACAUGCAAGUCGAACGCCGUAGCAAUACGGAGUGGCAGACGGGUGAGUAACGCGUGGGAACAUACCCUUUGGUUCGGAAUAACUUGAGGAAACUUGAGCUAAUACCGGAUACGGCAGAGAUGCGAAAGAUUUAUCGCCGAAGGAUUGGCCCGCGUUCGAUUAGCUAGUUGGUGAGGUAAUGGCUCACCAAGGCGACGAUCGAUAGCUGGUCUGAGAGGAUGACCAGCCACACUGGGACUGAGACACGGCCCAGACUCCUACGGGAGGCAGCAGUGGGGAAUAUUGGACAAUGGGCGCAAGCCUGAUCCAGCCAUGCCGCGUGAAUGAUGAAGGCCUUAGGGUUGUAAAGUUCUUUCGCCAGGGACGAUAAUGACGGUACCUGGAUAAGAAGCCCCGGCUAACUUCGUG
rnacentral:rRNA from 1 species